rnacentral:rRNA from 1 species
UGGGGAAUUUUGCACAAUGGGGGAAACCCUGAUGCAGCGACGCCGCGUGAUUUAGAAGGCCUUCGGGUUAUAAAAAUCUUUUCUAUGGGAAGAAAAUGACAGUACCAUAGGAAUAAGGACCGGCUAAUUACGUGCCAGCAGCCGCGGUAAUACGUAAGGUCCGAGCGUUGUCCGGAAUCAUUGGGCGUAAAGGGUACGUAGGCGGGUAAGCAAGUUAGAAGUGAAAUCCUAUAGCUCAACUAUAGUAAGCUUUUAAAACUGCUCAUCUUGAGGUAUGGAAGGGAAAGUGGAAUUCCUAGUGUAGCGGUGAAAUGCGCAGAUAUUAGGAGGAAUACCGGUGGCGAAGGCGACUUUCUGGCCAUAACCUGACGCUGAGGUACGAAAGCGUGGGUAGCAAACAGG